rnacentral:rRNA from 1 species
AUUGAACGCUGGCGGCAGGCCUAACACAUGCAAGUCGAACGAGUGGCGGACGGGUGAGUAAGGUCUGGGAAACUGCCUGAUGGAGGGGGAUAACUACUGGAAACGUUAGCUAAUACCGCAUAACAUCAGAUGUGCCCAGAUGGGAUUAGCUUGUUGGUGGGGUAACGGCUGACCAAGGCGACGAUCCCUAGCUGGUCUGAGAGGAUGACCAGCAACACUGGAACUGAGACACGGUCCAGACUCCUACGGGAGGCAGCAGUGGGGAAUAUUGCACAAUGGGCGCAAGCCUGAUGCAGCCAUGCCGCGUGUAUGAAGAAGGUCUUCGGGUUGUAAAGUACUGUCAUCGGGGAGGCGUUAUCAACACAAUAAGCACCGGCUAACUCCGUGCCAGCAGCCGCGGUAAUAC